rnacentral:rRNA from 1 species
AGAGUUUGAUCAUGGCUCAGAAUCAACGCUGGCGGCAUGCCUAACACAUGCAAGUCGAGCGAGAAAGUGUAGCAAUACAUGAGUAAAGCGGCGCACGGGUGAGUAACACGUGGAUAACCUGCCUCAAAGUGGGGAAUAACACCGGGAAACCGGUGCUAAUACCGCAUAUUCUGACGAGAUCUGCGGAUUUUGUCAGGAAAGGAGCAAUUCGCUAUGAGAGGGGUCCGCGGCUGAUUAGCUAGUUGGUGGGGUAAUGGCUCACCAAGGCCACGAUCAGUAGCCGGUCUGAGAGGACGGUCGGCCACACUGGAACUGAGACACGGUCCAGACUCCUACGGGAGGCAGCAGUGGGGAAUUUUUCGCAAUGGGGGCAACCCUGACGAAGCAAUGCCGCGUGGAUGAUGAAGUAUCUCGGUACGUAAAAUCCUUUCGACGGGGACGAAACCGCAAGGUUGACGGUACCCGUAGAAGAAGCCCCGGCUAACUCCGUGCCAGCCGCCGCGGUAAUAC